rnacentral:rRNA from 1 species
UACGUAGGGGGCAAGCGUUGUCCGGAAUCAUUGGGCGUAAAGAGCGUGUAGGCGGCCAGAUAAGUCCGCUGUGAAAUCUCGAGGCUCAACCUCGAGCUGUCGGUGGAAACCGUAAGGCUAGAGUCCGGAAGAGGAGAGUGGAAUUCCUGGUGUAGCGGUGAAAUGCGCAGAUAUCAGGAAGAACACCCGUGGCGAAGGCGGCUCUCUGGGACGGUACUGACGCUGAGACGCGAAAGCGUGGGGAGCGAACAGG